rnacentral:lncRNA from 1 species
AGCCCAUUCAGGUGGUAAUCUGUGCACUUUUGACAUGUCCCAAACAUUUUUUGAGUGCCAUUUAACUUCUGAUACACAAGAUUUUCAGCCCUGGAAUCAGCCAUUUUCUAAGGAGCCCUUCUUCCAUUUAAUGAAGAGUGGUAUUUAGAAACCAAGAUCUGAGUAUUAGGUAUUUUCAUUCCUAUUGGGAUGUUGCUGCUACCAGGCUUUCCCAGUCAGAGUUAGGGAAUAUCUGUAUAUACCUAUCAAUCAAUAGGUAUAAAUCAAUAGGUGUUGAUGGGUAUAAACAAGUAGUUUACAUCAGUACCUCCAGUUCUAAUCCGGAACUUUAUAGGAGUCAUUCUAGUUUUCUAUAUUAGUAACUCCUCCUCUGACAGUGAGAAAUCUGGUUCCCAUUAUCCUUAAUGUAUUUGUGUAUUUCAUAAAUCCCACUGUAUGUAACAUAUGUCACUGUGCCACUAACCUGGUGGAUGCUCCCCUCACCACCUCAGGCCCGAACCUGGGGAUGGAAAUGCUCUCCACGUGGGCAUUUCCAUCCCCAGCCUUUGUUUUGACACCCUGCACUGCCUUCCCCACAUGUAACCCUGAUGAGACUCUGCUUUCCCUCUCUGGGCCACCAUGCUCCUAUUCCUAUGUGGAGAGUUACCUUGCUCAGAACUACCCCAGGCAUUUGUUCUGCGUGUUUUUUGGGGGAAAAGAGGACGCAGAGAGUUUAAGAUACUGCUUGAUUUUCUUUAUGGUUUAUGUUUUUUUUAUGUCUUAUGUAAGAAAUCUUUUCAUACUUUCAAAUAAGAAUAUUUUUCUAUAAAUUACUACUCUAUCUUAUUUACCAUAACUUUCCAUUCAGCCAGGGUCUAGUCCGGAAAACAAAUGACCAAGUAUUUGAAGGAAGAGUGGAUUUAGUAUGGACAAUUUAAUGCUUAGAAAAACAGUGACAGGACUGGAGGACUGAAAGGUGCAAGAAGUAACUGACUGUUACCUCUUAGGUUUGCCACUAACUUUCAGAGAGUUAGGAAGGUGCAGAAACCAUAGAAAAUCUCUGGGAUAAUCAGUUGUCACCAAUACUGGUGAUUUACAAAAACGAAAAGGACCUGAAGGAUGCUGCAGACUCUCACAUCCUCUGAUGUUUAUCAUGCAUCUCUCCAUCCUUAACAAAGGACCAAAAAUACACUUUUGCUUUCCUUCUGCCCUCAGAUUUUAUGAAUGUCUUUCAUUGGAAAUUUAACCAAAAAACCUUUUGGCAGCGUCCAGAGAAAUGUAGUUCCUGGACAUCUAGCCCUUUGAGCUGGAGAAGGGGUGUGAAGGUGUGAAUAGCUUGUGAGAGCUCUGGCAUAGAUUCUUAUCAGAUUCACCAUACAGAGAACAGGCCUCCCUCCCCACACAUAUACAGCCUUUUCUUGUUGUCAGGACUACUCCUGUUCAUUGUCAUGUGAACUUGUAGAUGAUCGUGUUAAGUGUUACAAAAAACUCAGGAUUUUAUUUGGACUUACACCUAAUUUUAAGACUGAUUUUGGGAUAACUGACCCUUUGCGAUAUUUGUGCUUUUUUACCCAUGAUUGUGAUCUUUCUUUAAUGUCUUUCAAUAAAGCUUUAUGCCUUUCUACAUGAAGGUCUUGUGUCACUUUGAUUAUAUUUAGUGGUUAAACAACACUCAAUAAAAAAUGUGUGCUAGGCACUAAUUCUAAGUGGUGAAGGUAUACGUAGUUGUGAACAAAACAAAAAGUACCUUUUUUUUGUCUUUUUGUCUUUUCUAGGGCCACACCCACGGCAUAUGGAGGUUCCCAGGCUAGGGGUCGAAUCAGAGCUGUAGCUGCUGGCCUACACCACAGCCACACCACCCCACACGGGAUCCAAGCCUCAUCUUCAACCCACAGCACAGCAACACCAGAUCCGUAACCCACUGAGCAAGGCCAGGGAUUGAACCCUCAACCUCAUGGUUCCUAGCCGGAUUCGUUAACCACUGAGCCAUGUUGUCAGGGAUGGCCUCUGAGGGGUAACAGAAUAGGAGGCCAAAUGGGACCAGUGAGAAAGCUGUGUGACAUCAUCGAGAGCAGCAUGUUCAAAGGCCUUGAGGGACAGGCAUGUCUGGCACAUCCAAGAAGCAGCAAGAAGGCCGAUAGGCCUAGCCAGGAGGAGAGCGAUGGGGCCGGAUCAUGGAGGGCUUCAUGGGCAUUAGAAGGGUUUGACUUUGAAGGCUUUGGAGCAAACGUAAGGUAAGCUGAUACAUGUUUGAAAAUGGUUGUGAUGGCUGCCGUAUGAAGAACAGGCUGAAGGAGAGAAGGGUGGGAGCAGAAGAGACCAGUGAGGAGACCUGAGGGGUGCCAGUCAGGAGGUUGCAGAGGUUAGAGCCAGCCAUUGUAUGUCAUAUGGUUGGAUUGUGUGUAUGGUGCAUGAGAGAAAGGAGGAGGUGAGCACAGUUGACCUGAUUUUGUCCUGAAUAACUGGAUGGAGUUGCCAUUCUACUGAGAUGUACAGGACUUUAGAGGGAAGAAGGCUGGGGCGAAGAAUUGGGUUAGAGUAUUAUGGGAAGGUACACAAAUCAGAAUUGUACAACGUGAUGAAUUUUUACCAAGUGAACUCGUCCAGGUAAGCAGGAACUGAUCUACCACUACAUAGUGAACAAUAGCCUAACUUUUAUCACUAAAAUUUCUUUUGCUACCUUUCGAACUUUAUAUAAAUGGAGUGUAUGGUAUAUAUUAUCUAGCUUUUUUGCUCAAUAUUCUAUUUGAAAUAUUCGUGUUGUUAACACAUGGUUGCCAUGGAAUACUCCAUUGUAUGUUACACCAGUGAAUUUAUUCAUUCUGUAGUUGAUAGUCCAGUUUAUCAAGUAUUUUCUUUAUAGUUACUGUUUUUUAUGUCCUGUUUAAGAAACAUUUACUUGAGGUUAUGGAGAUAAUCUCUUGCAUUUUCUUCUAAAUAUUUUCCCUAGAUUUUCUGCCUUUGACUUCCAACAUUUAGGUGUAUAAUCCACCAGAAAUUGACUUUCAUGUAUGGUUGGUAGAGGACAGGAUCAUUUUUUUUUAAUAUGUAUAUCCAUUCCACCCAGCUCUAUUCAUCAAAAUGUCUGUUCUUUCUCCUCUUUACUGUAGCGUCAUCUUUGUCAUGAAUCAGGGGUGGGUGUGUGUGUGUAUGUUUCUACACUUUUUGUUGUGUUUCAUUCAUUAAUUUGUCUAUCCCUGCACCAAUCCUAGUGCUUUAAUUAUUAAAGCUUUAUAAUAGAGCUUAAUUUCUGGCAGUGGAACUUCUCUAACUUUGUCCUUUUUCCAGAUUGCCUUGGGUAUAUUUGGCUCCUUUGUAUUUGCAUGAAGAAUUUAGAAUCAGUUUGUUAAUUUUUCCCACCCCCAAAAAGCCUUUUGAAGAUUUUAUGUAAUUUACACACAAUAAAAUAUAGACUUUAAGAGUACGAUUCGAUAAGUACUCUCUAAGUACUUGACAAAUGUAUACAGUCAUAUAACCAACAUUCCAGUCAAAGUAUGCAACCAGUUCCAUCACCCAGGGACAUUCCAUCAUACCCCUUUCCAGUUAAUCCCCUUUUCCUCCCAGAAGCAACCACUCUUGAUUUCUUUCACCACAAAUUUUUUUGACUGUUGUAGGACUUUAUAUAAAUGGGAACAUGGGAUCAUAAAGUAUGACCUCUUUUGUGUUUGCUCAACACAGUGUUUCCAAUACACUGCUGCCUGCAUCAUUCCUUCUUACUGUUACAUCACAUUCCAUUGUAUGACUAUACCACAGUUCCUUUAUCAGUCCACCUGCCAUUUGGAUAUUUCUUGUUUGGGGGCAUCUAUGAAUAAGGCAACUAUGAAUAUUUCCUGUUUGAGUCUUUUUUUUUUAGGGCCGCACUUGCAGCAUAUGGAGGUUCCCAGGCUAGGGGUCUAAUUGGAGCUACAGCUGCCUGCCACAGCAACAUCAGAUCCAAGCCGCAUCUGUGACCUACACCACAGCUCACAGCAACGCCAGAUCCUUAAUCCACUGAGUGAGGCCAGGGAUCGAACCUGCAGCUUUAUAGUUCCUAGAUGGAUUCAUUUCUACUGCGCCACGACAGGAGCGCUCUUAUUUGAAUCUUUUGUAUCUGCUUCAUUUCUCAUGGGCAAAUACUUAGACAUAGGAGGUAGUGGGUGUACUUAAGUGUUAUGAGAAAAUACUGAACAGUGUUCCAAAGUGGUCGUAUCCUUUUACACUCCAGUUAGCAUGGUAUAACGGUACUAGUGGCUUUGUAUACUCAUUUUAGCCAUUUUAAAGGUGAAACGUUUUUUAAUUGUGAUUUUAAUUUGCAUUGUCAGAUGACUAAGCACAUUUUCUUUCUACACAAAAAUUUUUAUUAUACUUGAUUUAUAGUGUUGUCAAUUUCUGCUGUACAGCAAAGUGACCCAGUUUAUGUAUAUACACACACAUUUUUUUUUCUCAUGUUAUCCUCCAUUAUGUUCCAUCACAAGUGUUUGGAUAUAGUUCCCUGUGCCGUGCAGCAGGAUUUCAUUGCUUAUCAGCUUCAAGUGCAGUAGUUUGCAUCUAUUAACCCCAGACUCCCAGUCCAUCCCACUUCUUCCUCCUCCCCCUUGACAACCACAGCUCUAUUCUCCAUGUCCAUGAGUUUGUUUCUUUUCUGUAGAUAGGUUCAUUGUGUCAUAUAUUAGAUUCCAGAUAUAAGUGGUAUCAGUUCCUGUCAUGGCUUAGUGGUUGACAAACUUGACCAGGAUCCAUGAGGAUGUGGGUUCAAUCCCUGGCCUUGCCCAGUGGGUUAAGGAUCCAGCGUUGCUCUGAGCUGUGGCAUAGGUUGCAGACCUGGGUCAGAUCCCAUGUUGCUCUGGCUGUAGUGUGGGCCGGUGGCUACAGCUCCAAUUAGACCCCUAGCCUGGAAACCUCUAUAUGCUGUGGGUUGCAGCCUUAAAAAGAC